AUGAGUUCCUCCCUGGCCCUGCUCGUCCUCCUCGCAGCAGCCAGCGCCCCUAUCCUCGCAGUCGGCGUCUCCCCUGCCGUCAACCCGAGAGUGCUCCCGGCGGCCGCCUCCUCAAACGAUACGCUGCAGCGCGGCAUCGUCGCCACCAACCAGACCGCGAACAGCGUGACGUCCACGCUGCACAUCAUCUCAGACCUCGUGCGCGACCUCAACACCUGCACCGGGUACUACACGACCAUGGCCGAGACGGUGGCCGCCGCCCUCGACGACCUUCACGCCGGACGUGUCGUCAACGCGACCGAUAAGCUUAACGACGCCCUGGGCGCGCCUAGUGACUGCGACAUCUUGCUGAGCGGCGUAGGAGUGAUCGGGAAGGUCGAUCGUAAUCCCAUUCGGAAGGAAAACGGGGAGAACGAGAAGCUUGUCAAGUUAGCCAUCAACAUCUUGAACCCGCCGCGAAGCUAG
rnacentral:rRNA from 1 species